AAGCGCUUGUGACCAGACUUGGGCCCGGUGAAUCAUCCAGCGUUCUCGCUGGUGCACUUUGCCGGGCUCAGGCCAGCAUCAGUUUGCUUCGGGGGAUAAAGGCUUUGGGAAUGUGGCUCCUCCGGGAGUGUUAUAGCCCAUUGCAUAAUACCCUGAGGCGGACUGAGGUUCGCGCCUUCGGGCAAGGAUGCUGGCGUAAUGGUCAUCAGCGA
rnacentral:rRNA from 1 species